CAACUUAGUGGCUGUUCAUGCGUAAUACUUGAAUUGUCUUUAAAUGGAAGAUAAAAGUUUCUCAGUGAAAAAUUUCAUCUGGUUUCGCGUUUUUUUUUUCAAUUUCUCUUAAAAGUGAGAAGUAAUUAAUUUGGCUGCAACUAAUUUCUAGUCAUAGUAACAGUUCUCAUUGGCGAUUGCCAAGCAUGCCGGGAAUCCGGUCAGAGACGCGCGAUAAUACGUGAUCACUAUAUUUAGUGUUGACUUAUGGCUCGUUAAAUCGAGAAACAGUGACGUUGGACUGAGGAGCUGAUGAUAAAGAAAAUGAUAAUAUGUAUGCAAAGAUUGGAGAAAUUGUUAUUCGUUUAUGAACGAACGAUUUAAAACUUCGAUCAAAAAUUCAUUCGAUGAUUCAAAGUAGUGGCUUACUUUUGAGAAGGAUUUCAACCGUUAGUCAGACACGCAAGAUCCGCGGUCUUCAGCUCUGACGGAAUGACGUUGGAGAUUCUUGGGAUUUGACCUUGCACACACGACUGACCCAGAACAGGUAGACAACCGGUAAAACGAAUGUACUCACAUAUUGCCGGCUGCUACUUACGUUCUUGACUCCAUUUUCUUCCACGAAGGAAGUAAAUCCAAGGAUUUGGAACAUGGCCGUGGAUCGUUAGGACUACCAAAAAGAUGAUUUUGUCCUUCCGUUUAUUCAGAUCGCCGCUCAACGAUCCGCAUUUGUGUAAUUUUUGACACGAGUUGCGUAUUUCAUAAAAUUUGAUAAUUAUUUCGAAAAAUAUUAUUUGAAAAAUACAUUUUAACAAAUUUAUUUAUUUUUCUUAUUUAUCUUUCUUUUUUUUUUAUUUAAGUUUAACAGAUGAAUCGAUAAAGGAAGAAAAUUUAAGGAAGUUUAAAGGAUAAGGAAUUCGCGAUUGAUUUAUCCAAACGAUGUCAGAAAUCGUUCUAGGAAAUUUUAAGGUCUGUCGAUGAACGAUGAGUAAAGAAAAACUAAUAAAUUGUGUUAUUAUGAAAUAAUGAGCAUGAAACACGAAAGCGUAAUAUGUUCAUUAAUCAUUCAGGAAAGUUAUAUUUCUUGCACUAGUGAUCUUAAAUAGGUAUACAUCUAUAUAUCGAUAAGAAUACUUAUGAGUGAUCAUUAUACAUGGAUUAAACAAAUAAGAUUAUAUUAUUCUAUAAUGAACACGAUACAAAGGAAAAUUUUCCUUCUGAUAAUUAUCAUGAAACGUAACAAUUUCUUAUAUCUUAUAUCUAAAACGUAACAAUUAUUUUAUAUCUUAGUAUCAUUAUAUUAUUGAUAUUAGUAUUAGUUUUAUAUAAACGAUUACUUACUAACUACUACUUAUCAAUACUUAACUUCGAAUAUUUAACAAUUCAUCAGUAAUCAGUAAUAAUCCA